GAAUUCUCUCUUAUAUCUCGACUCCGUCUCCGUCUUCGUCUUGUGAUUGUCCCGUCUCCGUCUUCUUCUUCUUCUUCCUCUCUUUCACAGCAGUUGCAGCUUUGAGUAACUCAGGGCAGGAGAGCAGCUUGUGGGGAUAGAGCAAGACCCUUCUAAUUUUACACCUUCGAAUACGAGGUUCCAGCGAGGAAGCUCGAGUAUCCGCAGAAGGUUCAGCACCAAUGAAUCUAUUUCAAUGAAUCUAUUUCACUCUACGUACCUGGGACACUUGAUGAAGCUGAUAAGGUUCUAGUUGAUAUUGGCACUGGUUACUUCAUUGAGGUAAUGCGAUCACAAUAAGAAACACUUACGAUGAUGGAAAAGACUAUUGUCAGAGGAAGAUCAACUUGCUCAAAUCCAACUUUGACCAACUUUUUGAGGUCGCAGCCAAAAAGAAAAGUGUGGCAGAUGAAGCUGGGAUGGUCUUGCAGGCCAAAGUUAAACAGUUAUCAGCUGCAACCACGUCGUGAAAUUUCUUCUUCUCUAGUUCGUUUACUAUUGACACCUAUCUUGAAAUUGUUAAUGUUUUUGUCCAAUCAGUUAUGUUAUGAUUUUUAUACUCUCAAUGGUUUGUGUUUUAUUUGCUACAAUAACCUGUACUCAU